rnacentral:lncRNA from 1 species
UUUCCUUGGUAGGGCAUGGUGUGGGUGUGUCUGGGGUUUAAUAAAAAGGUAUGGUGCCUGUCUAUUUGGGGAGCAUUGGAAAGAUUCUGGGUACAGAAAUGGUUGCAAAUAUGAUUUAAAUUUUUUUCUAGGGCUGGUGAGUUGGCUGGCAAGAUGAGUUUGCUAUCAAACCCAAUGGCCUGUGUUUGAUCCCUGGGAUACACAUGAUGGCUUCAAAAUGUGCCUUUGAAACAGAAGGAA